ACGGGUGAGUAACACGUGGGUAACCUACCCAUCAGAGGGGGAUAACACUUGGAAACAGGUGCUAAUACCGCAUAACAGUUUAUGCCGCAUGGCAUAAGAGUGAAAGGCGCUUUCGGGUGUCGCUGAUGGAUGGACCCGCGGUGCAUUAGCUAGUUGGUGAGGUAACGGCUCACCAAGGCCACGAUGCAUAGCCGACCUGAGAGGGUGAUCGGCCACACUGGGACUGAGACACGGCCCAGACUCCUACGGGAGGCAGCAGUAGGGAAUCUUCGGCAAUGGACGAAAGUCUGACCGAGCAACGCCGCGUGAGUGAAGAAGGUUUUCGGAUCGUAAAACUCUGUUGUUAGAGAAGAACAAGGACGUUAGUAACUGAACGUCCCCUGACGGUAUCUAACCAGAAAGCCACGGUUAACUACGUGCCAGCAGCCGCGGUAAUACGUAGGUGGCAAGCGUUGUCCGGAUUUAUUGGGCGUAAAGCGAGCGCAGGCGGUUUCUUAAGUCUGAUGUGAAAGCCCCCGGCCCAACCGGGGAGGGUCAUUGGAAACUGGGAGACUUGAGUGCAGAAGAGGA
rnacentral:rRNA from 1 species